ACAAACCUAUCCAAAUAGGGCUUAAAGACACGGUUCAUUAAAUCCAUAAAGGCUGCUGGGGCAUUUGUCAGUUCAAAAGGCAUAACUGUAAAUUCAUAAUGCUCAUACCAUGUCCUAAAAGCGGUCUUGAAAACAUCUUCAGGCUUGAUCUUAAGCUGAUGAUAACCUGACUGCAAAUCAAUUUUAGAAUAUACUUUCGAUCCUUACAGCUGAUCGAAUAAGUCAUCGAUUCUGAAUAAUGGAUAUUUAUUCUUGAUUGUGACUUUGUUGAUUUCUCGAUAAUCCACACACAAUCGAAGGGAUCCAUAUUUCUUUUUGACAAACAAAACCGAGGCUCCCCAAGGAGAUACACUCGAUCGAAUGAAACCUUUAUCCAAGAAAUUUUGCAAUUGUGCCUUCAGCUCUUUCAACUCAGUGGGUGUCAUUCUAUAGGGUGCUUUCGAGAUAGGGGUAGUAGUCCCAGGGACAAGGUCUAUCACAAAUUCAACUUCUCUAUCAGGUGGCAUAUCUGGCAACUCAGCUGGAAACACAUCUCCGAAUUCUCGCACAACCGGGAUAUUAUCAAUCUUGACGGCUUCUCCGUCGCUUACAAAAAUACUAGCCAAAUAGGCUACACAACCCCUCCGAAUCAACUGUCGUUCUUGCGAAGAGCUAAUAGUUAUUGCGAACAAUGAACUCUAGCACCCCUUAUAAACAAACUCUUGCUGACCGAUCCUACAUGUUCUAAAAAGGGUUAGACAAGUUUUGGACAAGUUUGAGAGUGAUUGGAUUGUCGAAGACAAGAAAUUGCAUUGCUCCUGUGAAAUUUGGCCAUUUUUGCAUUGUGUACCGGUACAGGCAUUAUGCUGUACCGGUACAGCAAGCAGCAGAGGCAGCAGCUGCGUGGCAAGCAUGCCAUUUUGGUCUUUUAGCAUCCCAUGCUUAUCUACUUGACCCAGCACGACCCCAGGAGCUCUGUAGAAGUUGCUGGAGCUCAGAGCAAGUUUCUUCCCCUUCUCCCUCUUUCUCUCUCUAGGGUUUUUCUCUCUCUACGCGAAAGUCGCCGUUUUGCGCCGAUUUCGCGUCUCGAUCAACGGUUGCUGGUUGGGUGGACUUGGGGUCGGCUUUUAAUAGCUGAGUUGAGAAGGACUCCAGCAGCUUGAAAGGAGUUAUUUAGCUAUGAUUUAUCUACCUUGGACCAGGGUUAAGCUGCUGCAAAGCUAGACAAAGGUUUUCGAGUCUCUUUGAGCUGAACCUGUGCUCUUGGAAGCUGGUUUGGGAGGAUAUUUUAAGCAAGGGAUUGCGAUCAACCCUUGGCUCAUUUUCUGCUGAUCAGUGAGGGCUUUUGGGGGCUUAACUUGAGUUAUUGAGCUGAACCAAAACAGGGAUUUACAUUGCAAGAUAGUACAAUUGAGUAUUUCGUCGAAAUUGGACUUUUAGUAAUCGUGGUAACGUGAUUCUUAUGUUUCAUGUUCAGCAGGAUCGUGGCCUAGUUGAGCUAACUCUUGGAAUUCAUUUGAGCUGAUUUGAGUUUAGUAAUAGAGCCAUCUACAGAAGAGGUUGGGGAUCGUGGCAAGGGAGUCGCGUCUAGCUAGACAU